rnacentral:rRNA from 1 species
UUGACCUCGGAUCAGGUAGGAAUACCCGCUGAACUUAAGCAUAUCAAUAAAGCGGAGGAAUUACCCUCCAACCCUGAU